rnacentral:rRNA from 1 species
UACGUAGGCAGCGAGCGUUGUUCGGAAUUACUGGGCGUAAAGAGUGUGUAGGCGGUGUUCCCAGUCUGUUGUGAAAUCUCCCGGCUUAACUGGGAGGGUGCAGCGGAAACUAGAAUGCUAGAGGGUGGGAGAGGUAAGUGGAAUUCCCAGUGUAGUGGUGAAAUGCGUAGAUAUUGGGAAGAACGCCAGUGGUGAAGGCGGCUAUCUGGACGGUUUCUGACGCUAAGACGCGAAAGCGUGGGGAGCGAACAGG